CAUGUUGCCCAGGCUGGUCCAGAACCCCUGGGCUCAAGUGCUGGGAUUACAGACGUGAGUCACCAUGCCCAGCUGGGGUUCAGUCUUGAUGGGUGGGGAGGACCAGGCCUGGUGAAUUUGCGGAGAAAGGGCCUUCCAGGAGGAAAUAGUACAAACAAAGCGGGGAAGAUGGCCAGAAAGAAGCAAAGAAGAUGACAAGACCAACUGGAGGUGAUAACUGGGAGAAACAUCUGUGUUGAAGGACGAGGCGUGAAUUGAGAAGGUCUGAUCCAUCAGGGAACAGCAGAAACUCUGAGACCAACAACACUAUAUUAUUUUCUAACCACUGAUCUACUGACCAGACUUCAGGCUUCUCAAGCUAUUCGCCUCCUGUGACCUGUUCCUCUUUCCAUCAGGAUGGAAAGGAUAAUGGCAAGGGUCCUCUGGUAAGCUUUCCUAUUACUUGUUAUUUGCUAACACUAAAACCAGUAAUUCUUACCACUUUGUCAACAUUUUUCUUUCUUUUUGUUAGUAUUUCCUCCUUUACGUUACUUCUUCCUCUCAUUUCUCUUUUCAUCUGUCCCUCAAAUAUUGACUGAAGCAAACAAUGCUAGAAGCUUGGGAGUUCCCUGUUGUACAUAGGGUUUGGUGUCAGAUUUAGGAAUCUCCAGGAUCACUUCCCACUUUCUUUUGUGCAGCAGGCAUUACAUACUUUAACCAAACUCUAUUACUUCCCACCAUUUCCUGAUAUCACUUUUCCUUGCCUUUGCCAUGCUUUGGUUCCUUCCAUGCUUGCCUUUUGCAGCCCAUCAUCCUUAACUGUUGUCAUCCUGCUCAUCUUUCAGACUCAGCUAC
rnacentral:lncRNA from 1 species